AGCUCCUUUCCAAUCUUUUUUACUCUAGAGAGUGCCUAUAAUUUUCCCGGGCUAGUAACAAACCUCUGAUUGACCGCUCCUCAGCUUUGAACAGUGUCUUUUACCAUCUCAGCUAUACAGAUUGUGUACCUUGACUUAUCUUCAUCUUCUUCUGAUGUACAGUUCCUCUAACUCCUCUUGCUGGUUUCCACAGGUCAACUGUUGGUGUUUAGAGACGCUGGAAGGGUAACCCACUCUGAAGUUUCAUGCUACCUGCUCAUUUCCUGAAUGGGAAACUGCCAAGUUCCAUCUCCUCCCUACCACAGUUAACUCCAGGACAUUAGAAAAGAUCCUGAGUCCAAAAGGUUGGAUUAAGAUCUUCACUUCUUCAACAGCUGAGGUCAGUGGCUCCUGUCAUUUGGUUUGCACUUCUUCUUACUCGGUCUGAGACAGGUUACAAAUAGACUCCCCCAACCUAACAAGCAAGCAGGU
rnacentral:lncRNA from 1 species